AGAGUUUGAUCCUGGCUCAGAACGAACGCUGGCGGCAGGCUUAACACAUGCAAGUCGAACGCCCCGCAAGGGAGUGGCAGACGGGUGAGUAACGCGUGGGAUUCUACCUAGUUCUACGGAACAACACAGGGAAACUUGUGCUAAUACCGUAUACGCCCUACGGGGGAAAGAUUUAUCGGAAUUAGAUGAGCCCGCGUAAGAUUAGCUAGUUGGUGGGGUAAUGGCCUACCAAGGCGACGAUCUUUAGCUGGUCUGAGAGGAUGAUCAGCCAUACUGGGACUGAGACACGGCCCAGACUCCUACGGGAGGCAGCGGUGGGGAAUAUUGGACAAUGGGCGCAAGCCUGAUCCAGCCAUGCCGCGUGAGUGAUGAAGGCCUUAGGGUUGUAAAGCUCUUUCAGUGGGGAAGAUAAUGU
rnacentral:rRNA from 1 species